AACGAACGCUGGCGGCAGGCCUAACACACGCAAGUCGAGCGAGGACUUCGGUUCUAGCGGCGGACGGGUGAGUAACGCGUGGGAAUGUGCCCUUCUCUACGGAAUAGCCCUGGGAAACUGGGAGUAAUACCGUAUACGCCCUAUUGGGGAAAGAUUUAUCGGAGAAGGAUCAGCCCGCGUUGGAUUAGGUAGUUGGUGGGGUAAUGGCCUACCAAGCCGACGAUCCAUAGCUGGUUUGAGAGGAUGAUCAGCCACACUGGGACUGAGACACGGCCCAGACUCCUACGGGAGGCAGCAGUGGGGAAUCUUAGACAAUGGGGGCAACCCUGAUCUAGCCAUGCCGCGUGAGUGAUGAAGGCCUUAGGGUUGUAAAGCUCUUUCAGCUGGGAAGAUAAUGACGGUACCAGCAGAAGAAGCCCCGGCUAACUCCGUG
rnacentral:rRNA from 1 species